AAUGUAAUCUAAUUUUAAUAUACCGUGUAUUUCAUUUCCAAAUCGUUCUGGGAUGGGAGCUGUGUCGUCACGUCAGACUCUCAUUUGCAUAUUGCCCAGUAUAUCUCCUAUGCUUGCGCAAGGGCGCGACACAUUGCUGCAACGCAAAGCCUGGAGAAGUACAACUAGUCAAUCAGUCCAACUUUGACACUUCGCAAUCAUGUCUGACAAGCCAAAUCUCGAGGAGGUCGCCAGCUUCGACAAGACCAAGCUGAAAAAGACCGAAACGCAGGAGAAGAAUCCGCUGCCGACUAAAGAAACCAUUGAACAGGAGAAGCAGGCGUCAUCGUGAAGACCAUCCCUCCAUCAUGCACUGUACACCCCCUCCUCCUCCAUUGCCUUCUUUUCACUCACUUCUUUUUAGCUGUAUAACUUGUCAAGAAAAACCCCCACCAACAACACAAAGCUGCACUGCGAUGGAUGACCAUCCAUGUCCAGGCGCUGACCCCGCCCCUCCACCAAUAGAGGAGCAGGCCCUAGCCAGGCCAGGAAUGAGGAAGUACUACCAACCAACCAGGGGCGGUAUGGUGGAUGGGGCCCAAAGGUGUGGGGUGUGGUGUCCAAACAUCGAUACGGGGUAGAGAGGGCUACAGGAUGGGGGCGUGGUAUUGGAUCUAGGAAGUUACAUCCCUCGUUCGACAUCCAAUUUCCUGUGUGGCCUCUUGUCGACCUGGUAACACACGCCCCAACCAUGUCCGGCUUUUUUUUCAUUUCCUUUUCGGGGAAAAUGCACAACCUUUUUUUGUUUUUACGCUGGUAAUAUGAUUAACAUACCCAUCGGUUAAUACAAGUUUUCUGUCAGAUAUUUUUUUAUCGAACCAAGGAUGAAAAAACAGAAUCCAUCUAGUCUUCGAAGAUACUCGUGUGGAUUUUAUUUACAUUGAUGUUUUUAAAGCGUUAUUGUACGUUGACCUUUUUUAGCGAUGUGAUUUGGGAUAGCUUUUUGUGUUGCACCCUGUCUCUGAAUUGUUUAAUAUUGUAAGGAAAAAAAUAUUAUUACUGGAAAUUAAUUCCAUGUGUUCUGCUUCGAUCAAAUUAUUUGGAGUUUUCUAAAGUCCCAACGGUCAUGUUAAUCUGCCACAUACCUUUACCAAGAAUGGAAACAGUGAAAUGUUGUAAUAAAAAAGUGUUUCUAUGAA